rnacentral:rRNA from 1 species
GACAGGGGGCUCGAGCGUUAAUCGGAAUCACUGGGCUUAAAGGGUGCGUAGGCGGGUCGGUAAGCAUUCCGUGAAAUCCCUUGGCUCAACCAAGGAACUGCGAGAUGGACUGCCGACCUUGAGGUAGCUAGAGGCGGGUAGAACGAUAGGUGGAGCGGUGGAAUGCGUAGAUAUCUAUCGGAAUGCCGAAAGUGAAGACAGCCCGCCGGGGCUUACCUGACGCUAAAGCACGAAAGCGUGGGGAGCAAACCGG